UACAAGCUACGAUGUACGUAUUCAAAUAAGUUUUAACCUCUAACAGAUGAAUAGGGAGUUUUAUAUCGGGACAGUAAUGUCGAGCCGUCAACAUGCAGCGGAAGACAGGAUGGUUUCUGCAAACACCCACUUGGAGAAGUGGUGGUUUAAAACUUUUUAUACUCAAUACGGCAAUUGUGGCCUGUAC
rnacentral:other from 1 species